rnacentral:rRNA from 1 species
AGGAAUAUUGGUCAAUGGACGAGAGUCUGAACCAGCCAAGUAGCGUGAAGGAUGACUGCCCUAUGGGUUGUAAACUUCUUUUAUAUGGGAAUAAAGUGGUCCACGUGUGGAUUUUUGUAUGUACCAUAUGAAUAAGGAUCGGCUAACUCCGUGCCAGCAGCCGCGGUAAUACGGAGGAUCCGAGCGUUAUCCGGAUUUAUUGGGUUUAAAGGGAGCGUAGGUGGACAGUUAAGUCAGUUGUGAAAGUUUGCGGCUCAACCGUAAAAUUGCAGUUGAUACUGGCUGUCUUGAGUACAGUAGAGGUGGGCGGAAUUCGUGGUGUAGCGGUGAAAUGCUUAGAUAUCACGAAGAACUCCGAUUGCGAAGGCAGCCUGCUAAGCUGUAACUGACGUUGAGGCUCGAAAGUGUGGGUAUCAAACAGGAUUAGAUACCCUGGUAGUCCACACGGUAAACGAUGGAUACUCGCUGUUGGCGAUAUACUGUCAGCGGCCAAGCGAAAGCAUUAAGUAUCCCACCUGGGGAGUACGCCGGCAACGGUGAAACUCAAAGGAAUUGACGGGGGCCCGCACAAGCGGAGGAACAUGUGGUUUAAUUCGAUGAUACGCGAGGAACCUUACCCGGGCUUAAAUUGCAGACGAAUUACCUGGAAACAGGUAAGCCGCAAGGCGUCUGUGAAGGUGCUGCAUGGUUGUCGUCAGCUCGUGCCGUGAGGUGUCGGCUUAAGUGCCAUAACGAGCGCAACCCUCGUGGCCAGUUACUAGCAGGUAAUGCUGAGGACUCUGGCCAGACUGCCAUCGUAAGAUGCGAGGAAGGUGGGGAUGACGUCAAAUCAGCACGGCCCUUACGUCCGGGGCUACACACGUGUUACAAUGGGAGGUACAGAAGGCAGCUACCCGGCGACGGGAUGCCAAUCUCCAAAGCCUCUCUCAGUUCGGACUGGAGUCUGCAACCCGACUCCACGAAGCUGGAUUCGCUAGUAAUCGCGCAUCAGCCACGGCGCGGUGAAUACGUUCCCG